rnacentral:tmRNA from 1 species
GUCCCAACGCCCCGUUUCCAAUUGUGCUACAAUGAGCUGUCGGGGAAUCUCGACUAUGACGAUAAAGAUUGGCUAGAAUAGGUGACAUGGACCCGGGGGCAGUACCCGGCGCCUCCACGUGUGCGUAUCGGCGGAAGCCGGCAGCUAUGGGGGCGACACAGCUUCGACAUGCACAAUAAAGGGUCGGUGUUCGUCCGUUAUUGUUCCGUCGUUAUCGGGCAAAAAAGUAUAGAUGCCAAAAACAUUAGCAUCUCGGGUGUUGCGAAUCGGAACCGCCUUCGCAGGCGUCGCCGCAUAGCAGCAAACAGCAACCUUCCGAAGAAGGUGGCUGCUGCCUAAUUUGCCUAACGGCAAGUUAGUCAGGGAAAGACCCGCGGUUGAGGGCGACCGGGCAACAGAACGCCCUCGUA